AUGUCUACCUGUCUCACUGAUAUGAUUGAUGCCAAUGAUGUUGAUUUUAUUGGUCUUCAAGAGACUAUGAAAAGUUCUUAUAACCCUUCCUUUUUUAGGAAGUUAGACCCUAGGCAAAAAUUUUAUUGGGAAUGGAUUCCCUCUAGGGGAAAAUCUGGAGGCAUUCUAUGUGGUGUUAGUAGGAACAAGUUUGAUAUUAUUGCUGUUAAGCAUGGCAAGUAUAUCAUUCAGUUGGAUUUAUUUGAUAAAAAUGUGAAAUGUAGCUGGUCCUUGAUGGUAGUGUAUGGAGCAGCUCAUGAUGAAAAUAAACCUGAGUUUAUUGCUGAACUAUCUCAUAUGUGUCAUGUUACUCAUAUACCUUACUUAGUGGGUGGGGAUUUCAAUAUACUUCGUCACAGUGGUGAGAAGAAUAAAAAUACUCCCAUGUCUCAUUUCUCAGAUGUGUUUAAUUCUGUCAUCCAUUUACUUGGGCUUAGGGAGAUUUGCAUGUCUGGAGGGGCAUACACGUGGUCUAACAAACAGGAGAAUCCCACUCUGGAAAAGCUGGAUAGAGUUUUAAUGUCACCUGAAUGGGAGGAUCUAUAUCCUCUAGUCUCGGUUAGUAAAUUGGUUAAAGACCUAUCUGACCACAAUCCCCUAUUGUUGGAUGGGGGGCGGGCUGCAGCUAGAGCACCAGGGAUAGGUGCUUUAGGUUUGAUAAUAACUGGCUGA
rnacentral:rRNA from 1 species